CCCAAAUUCCCCAUCCGCAUGCCGGGGGCACCACGGGGUGGGGGGUGGGGGCUGCAAGAAAGCGCCCCCCCCCCUCCCCUCGCCGCCAGCGGAUCGGGGACGCCGGCAUUGGGGACCCCCGGUUCUUCGUAAGCGGGGUUGCCAAGGGAACGCCGGCAUCGGCACGGCACCAGCAUCCGGCCCUAUGAUACCGGCAUCAGGCCCUAUAACACCGGCAUCAGGCCCCAUAGCACCGGCACCGUGCCCCAUAACACCAGAAUCGUGCCCCAUGGCACCAGCAUCAGGCCCCACAGCACCAGAAUCGUGCCCCAUGGCACCGGCACGGUGCCCCGCGGCGUCAUCACCACGGUGUUGGCACGGCACCCCGUGGCACAGCACCCCAUGGCACUGCACCCCAUGGCACGGCACCCCGUGGCACUGCACCCCGUGGCACGGCGCCCCAUGGCACGGCGCCCCAUGGCACAGCACCCCGUGGCACGGCACCCCAUGGCACUGCACCCCAUGGCACAGCACCCUGUGUCCCGGUGCCCCAUGGCACUGCACCCCAUGGCACGGCACCCCGUGGCACGGCACCCCGUGGCACAUCACCCCAUGGCACGGCACCCCAUGGCACGGCACCCCGUGGCACAGCACCCCAUGGCACGGCACCCCAUGGCACUGCACCCCAUGGCACAGCACCCUGUGUCCCGGUGCCCCAUGGCACCACACCCCAUGGCACUGCACCCCGUGGCCCGGCACCCCGUGGCACAGCACCCCGGGGCACCGCUUCUGCCGGCCCCAGCCCCGCUCCCCGAGCACCCCUUCCUGCGGCAGCGCUUCUCCCCGGCACCGGAAUCCCUUCCCGUGGCGCCCGCCCUGCCGCAUCGCUUCCCGCGGCACCGGCAUCGCUCCCGGGGGAUCCCCCUUCCCUAUGGGAUCCCCCUUCCUAUGGGAUCCCCCUUCCCUAUGGGAUCCCUUUUCUUAUGGGAUCCCCAUUCCUAUGGGAUCCCCUUUUUUAUGAGAUCCCCUUCCCUAUGGGAUCCCCAUUCCUAUGGGAUCCCCUUUUCUAUGAGAUCCCUUUCCCUAUGGGAUCCCCAUUCCUAUGGGAUCCCCCUUCCUAUGGGAUCCCCUUCCCUAUGGGACCCCUUUUCUAUGAGAUCCCUUUUCCUGUGGGAUCCCCCUUCCUAUGGGAUCCCUUUUUCUAUGGGAUCCCCCUUCCUAUGGGAUCCCUUUUCCUAUGGGAUCCCCUUCGCUAUGGGAUCCCUUCCUCUGGGAUCCUUUUCCACGGGAUCCCUUCCCAUGGGAUCCCAUCCCACGGCACCGGCAUCGUUCCCGGUGGGGCGCACGGGGCCGUGGGGUGGGCACAAAGCUCUCCGCCCGUUAUCCCCCCCCCGUCCCCCCUCCCGUGGCAGCACCGGGCCCACCGGGGGGACCAAGG
rnacentral:lncRNA from 1 species